AUUGAACGCUGGCGGCAUGCUUUACACAUGCAAGUCGAACGGCAGCGCGGGCUUCGGCCUGGCGGCGAGUGGCGAACGGGUGAGUAAUACAUCGGAACGUGCCCAGUAGUGGGGGAUAGCUCGGCGAAAGCCGGAUUAAUACCGCAUACGACCUGAGGGUGAAAGCGGGGGAUCUUCGGACCUCGCGCUAUUGGAGGGGCCGAUGGCAGAUUAGCUAGUUGGUGGGGUAAAGGCCUACCAAGGGGACGAUCUGUAGCUGGUCUGAGGGGACGACCAGCCACACUGGGACUGAGACACGGCCCAGACUCCUACGGGAGGCAGCAGUGGGGAAUUUUGGACAAUGGGCGAAAGCCUGAUCCAGCAAUGCCGCGUGUGUGAUGAAGGCCUUCGGGUUGUAAAGCACUUUUGGCGGGAACGAAAAGGACUGUGCCAAUACCACGGUUCGAUGACGGUACCCGCAGAAUAAGCACCGGCUAACUACGUG
rnacentral:rRNA from 1 species